rnacentral:rRNA from 1 species
AUUGAACGCUGGCGGCAUGCCUUACACAUGCAAGUCGAACGGUAACAGGUCUUCGGAUGCUGACGAGUGGCGAACGGGUGAGUAAUACAUCGGAACGUGCCCGAUCGUGGGGGAUAACGAGGCGAAAGCUUUGCUAAUACCGCAUACGAUCUACGGAUGAAAGCGGGGGAUCUUCGGACCUCGCGCGGACGGAGCGGCCGAUGGCAGAUUAGGUAGUUGGUGGGAUAAAAGCUUACCAAGCCGACGAUCUGUAGCUGGUCUGAGAGGAUGAUCAGCCACACUGGGACUGAGACACGGCCCAGACUCCUACGGGAGGCAGCAGUGGGGAAUUAUGGACAAUGGGCGAAAGCCUGAUCCAGCCAUGCCGCGUGCAGGAUGAAGGCCUUCGGGUUGUAAACUGCUUUUGUACGGAACGAAAAGCCUCUUUCUAAUAAAGAGGGGUCAUGACGGUACCGUAAGAAUAAGCACCGGCUAACUACGUG